rnacentral:rRNA from 1 species
AGAGUUUGAUCAUGGCUCAGGGUGAACGCUAGCUACAGGCUUAACACAUGCAAGUCGAGGGGAAACGACAUCGAAAGCUUGCUUUUGAUGGGCGUCGACCGGCGCACGGGUGAGUAACGCGUAUCCAACCUGCCCACCACUUGGGGAUAACCUUGCGAAAGUAAGACUAAUACCCAAUGACGUCUCUAGAAGACAUCUGAAAGGGAUUAAAGAUUUAUCGGUGAUGGAUGGGGAUGCGUCUGAUUAGCUUGUUGGCGGGGUAACGGCCCACCAAGGCUACGAUCAGUAGGGGUUCUGAGAGGAAGGUCCCCCACAUUGGAACUGAGACGNGGUCCAAACUCCUACGGGAGGCA